rnacentral:rRNA from 1 species
AGCGAACGCUGGCGGCAGGCCUAACACAUGCAAGUCGAACGGAUCCUUCGGGAUUAGUGGCGGACGGGUGAGUAACACGUGGGAACGUGCCUUUUGGUUCGGAAUAACUCAGGGAAACCUGAGCUAAUACCGAAUGUGCCCUUCGGGGGAAAGAUUUAUCGCCAUUAGAGCGGCCCGCGUCUGAUUAGCUAGUUGGUGAGGUAAAGGCUCACCAAGGCGACGAUCAGUAGUUGGUCUGAGAGGAUGAUCAGCCACACUGGGACUGAGACACGGCCCAGACUCCUACGGGAGGCAGCAGUGGGGAAUCUUGCGCAAUGGGCGAAAGCCUGACGCAGCCAUGCCGCGUGAAUGAUGAAGGUCUUAGGAUUGUAAAAUUCUUUCACCGGGGACGAUAAUGACGGUACCCGGAGAAGAAGCCCCGGCUAACUUCGUGCCAGCCGCCGCCGUAACAC